rnacentral:rRNA from 1 species
GACGAACGCUGGCGGCGUGCUUAACACAUGCAAGUCGAACGGAAAGGCCCUGCUUUUGUGGGGUGCUCGAGUGGCGAACGGGUGAGUAACACGUGAGUAACCUGCCCUUGACUUUGGGAUAACUUCAGGAAACUGGGGCUAAUACCGGAUAGGAGCUCCUGCUGCAUGGUUGGGGUUGGAAAGUUUCGGCGGUUGGGGAUGGACUCGCGGCUUAUCAGCUUGUUGGUGGAGUAGUGGCUUACCAAGGCUUUGACGGGUAGCCGGCCUGAGAGGGUGACCGGCCACAUUGGGACUGAGAUACGGCCCAGACUCCUACGGGAGGCAGCAGUGGGGAAUAUUGCACAAUGGGCGGAAGCCUGAUGCAGCAACGCCGCGUGCGGGAUGACGGCCUUCGGGUUGUAAACCGCUUUCGCCUGUGACGAAGCGUGAGUGACGGUAAUGGGUAAAGAAGCACCGGCUAACUACGUG